AAACAGAGGGAGGGAGAGAGAGAUCCACUGACCCUGAACCAUGACAACUGGAAACACACAUAAAUAGCAGGCGGAGCUUUGGAUCCGGAGAAUCCUGGCUAUCCACAGCUGGUGCAGGUGUCCUCAGAUGUGUCCUCAGGCGUGGUGUUACGGUGUCUAGCCCCCCAGGGUCACAGUGGCCGAGUGUUUGAGCUCUACCACGUGCGCACACUCAAACUCUUGGUACAGUUUGACACAGGGCGCUCGUACGCCGACUUUCAGCUCAACACCAGCACUUCAGAUUCCGAGGAUAUCUACUGCUGCCGCUACGACCACAGCGGGUUCAGCAAGUACACCAGGCCCACUCCUCCACCAAGCCCGAACACACCCCCAGCUCCUCCUCAACUCUCGGUCAUACCUCCAGAUGGGUAUGUCCGGCCUGGUCAGGUGGUGGAGUUCCGUUGUCAGGCCCCGCCCACCCUUGCUCCUGUAUCAUUUGUCCUCCAGAAACAACAAAACAUGAUCCACUCCCAGAAUCCUCAGUUCAAGGUGGGGCCAGUGGGCGUGGCUGAUGGGGGCAUGUACAGCUGCUUCUACAUAUUUAACCUAUCAGAGGGAGUUCAAAAGUCUGUCCCCAGCGCACCUGUCUAUGUUAAUGUAGGAGUUAAGCUCCCAGCUCCGCAGUUAUCUCAGCGGGCAGAGGGGGCGCUAGUGUGCAUCGGGUCACCCUCCUACCCUGGUGCUUAUUUCUCCCUGUUCCAACAGGGUUCCUCAUCACCGAUAGCAACACAACACGCCCCCAAGAUUGAACACACCGUGCAAUUCACUGCAUCAGGGCAGCACUCGGAAGGAAGCAUGUACCAAUGUCAGUACAGUGUGCUGCUGGGUAAAAACUGGAUACAUUCUGAACUCAGCUCCCCCAUCGUACUGCAAUGUGUUACAGGAUCUCCUUCCUGCAGCUCAUCUUCUACAGAUAACCAUCCUCCACAUA
ensembl:lncRNA